GUGAGGAUCCUCCUACCUCGUCCUCCCCCUCCUCCUCCAUCCUCCUCCUCCUCUCCCUCCUCCCCAUCCUCCCCCUUCCUCCCCCUCCUCCUCCAUCUCCCUCCUCCUCUCCCUCCUCCCCCAUCCUCCCCCUUCCUCCCCACUCCUCCUCCAUUUCCUUCCUCCUCUCCCUCCUCCUCACCCUCCCUCUUCCUCCCCACUCCUCCUCCAUCCUCCUCCUCCUCUCCCUCCUCCCCCUUCCUGCCCCUCCUCCCCAUCCUUCCCCAUUCUUCCCACUCCUCCUCUCCCCUCCCUCCCCAUCCUUCCCCCUUCUACUCCCCCUUCUCCCUCCUCCCCAUCCUUCCCCAUUCUUCCCACUCCUCCUACCCCCUCCUCUACUUUCCUUCCCCCUUCCCCCCUCCUUCCCCCUCCUCCUCUCCCUCUUCCCCCCUCCUCCCAUUCCUAGUCUCCCUCCUGGCUCCUCCCUUUCCUUCCUUCUACUCCCCCUUCUCCUUCCAGCCCUCCCCUCCUCCCUUCCAGCCUCCUCUCCCUCCCCCAUCCACUCUUCCUUCUUCCUUCUCCCUGCUCCCCUCUCCUCUGCUUCCUCCGUUUCUCCUUCCCCCUCCUCCCCUCCCCUCGGUGCUAACAGCUGUAAUUGCUGUUUCUCCCACCUCCCUAACAAGCACGGGACCCUCCGAGCAGAGCCGCCCGCAGUUCCGCUCAGUAAUCGCCUCCAUGGAGUUUGGUCAAGGACUUUCAACUUCAGGAAGGAGCUCAACGCAGCCAGCACCUUGAUCGGCACCGUGGGAGAAGGUGGAAAGAGGACCCAGUCAAGCCACUCCUGAGCCACGGAAGCCGGGAGACAGUGCCUGCGUGUUGCUCCACAGGAAACCAGGAAACUUAUCAAGCACCCGCUUUCCAGAUGGGGAAAUCAAGGACCGGAGUUUCAAGGGAAUUCUCCUAGAGAACCCAGAGGGGUUCUCAUCACCGUCCGUAAUGCCAUAUUUUCUCCUGGAAGUUUUUGGCUUUGUACCUAUUCUUCUCUCUCCUGGACUAUGAACUUUGAGGAGGCAGGGGCCCGAUCUGUCCCGGCCGGUGGCCCCAGCAUCCAGCACAGAGCCUGGGGCACAGCAGGUGCAUGGUGACUGGGGGCUGGGUGAGUGAGUGAGUGAAUGAAUGAAUGCAUGAAUGAAGGAGUGAAUGCACAGAGGCCCCUGCCUUCCUGCCUCCCCGUCGCCAUGAGAGAAAGGAAGCAAAAUUUCAAACAACUCAAAGAUGUAUCAGCCUGGAGCCGCGGGAAACACCAGCUCCCCUGGCAGGGUGCAUCGACCCACGGUGGGGCGGGCAGGCGUCCGGCUUUGUGCAGGCGGAGGUAGGAGGGCUCGAGAUGGGGAGGGGGGCUGCACCAACCCGCUCGGUGGCGAUCAAAACGCGCCCCCACUCCCUGCCUGGGCUUCAGCGGCCAAGUGCAUGGGGUCUGCCGAUGGAGGCUGCGGGGGCUGGAGGGGGGCGAACAGCUUCUGCAGCGGCCAGGACAGAAAAGCUCUCUCUCCCGACACACAAAAGCAGGAAGGCCACAUUAAGCCCAUUAUCAAUAUUUUGCCUGGAAAAAAUACAAAAAGCAUUUUCUUCUCUGAAAAAUUAAUAACCUCGAAAGGUGGGGAGGCUGGGUUUGAUGUCUGGUGAGUGGAGGGGGGGGUUGGUGAGGCUUUGCUUUCUGCCUCCCUCGCCGCUCGCCCCGUGGGUGCCUGGGUCCCUCUGGGCAGGCCCGGCUCCUCCAGCCCACCUCCAACUGCCACCACCUGCUCCUAGUCCUGGCUGAGGCCCCAGCAAACCUUGGGCUGUGAGCCGGGCUCACCAGCCUGGCUCCAAGCCUGGGUCUUCCAGAUCCACCAUUACAGUCCCCUCUGAGGAGGUGGCAUCCCCCAACCUGAGCCCAGGUGUCAGCCCCUCUCGACUCUGUCCACAUGGGCCAUGUUCUCCUAGCUCUUGCUAAGAAACUCCUACUCUACCUGCAGAACCCAGCUUCAAUGCCCACUCUACCGCAGGGCCUUUACUUCCUCUUCCCCUAGACUCAGGUCUCUCCCUCUGGCCCAGUUCUGGGUCCCUUGUCUUCCCUGACCCUGGGGGGGCUUCCUGGGGGCUCUGGCUCUCUUCCAGGACCUCAGCAACACCCUGCACAGUGCACCAUUAUAAUUUGGAGAAUGGAUGGGGCUCCUUUUUUUUAUUUUUUUGAGACGAAGUUUCACUCUUGUUGCCCAGGCUGGAGUGCAAUGGCACGAUCUCAGCUCACCACAACCUCUGCCUCCCGGGUUCAAGCGAUUCUCCUGCCUCAGCCUCCAGAGUAGCUGGGAUUACAAGCGCCUGCGACCACGCCCAGCUAAUUUUUUGUAUUUUUAGUAGAGACGGGGUUUGUCCAUGCUUGCCAGGCUAGUUUCGAACUCCUGACCUCAGGUGAUCCGCCUGCCUUGGACUCCCAAAGUGCUGGAAUUACAGGCGUGAGCUGCCGCGCCUGACUGGGGCUCCUUUUGGUGGGUGGAAGUCUUCCUUGGAAGCCCCCUUCCCUCCUGGCCUCCUCUUGCCCAUGAGGCCCUUCAUCCUGGAGAGAAGAUUCUGGAAUCUGGCUGGUGGGAGGGGCAUAAUUCUUCUCAGGCCUCAGGUUCCAUUUUAAUAAAACUAGGGGGUUGGAUCUGAUUUUAAAUUUUGAAAUGAU
rnacentral:lncRNA from 10 species